rnacentral:lncRNA from 13 species
UAAUGCCUGUUUAAUGAAACCCUGGCUGUUGACGUAGAUCCCCAUUCCCCACUGAGGCCAUUUUUGGGAAAUGGCACUUUCACAUCAAUAAACACAUAUCAAGCGCAAGUGCGCCAACAGCUCACAUCAGCAGAAUGGGGGGCCUAUUCUUUACGAGGGACGUCUAACGUGGAUCGCUAAAAUAAUGAUUAUCGUCACCUUUCCUCAAUUUAAAUAUUAGACUUAUGGGGACACCAAAACAUUUGGCAGCCAUGCACGAGUGAUCAUUGUAGCUUUUUAUCGUCUAAACAUAUUGGUGGAAUAUCUUCACGCCUAGAAUAAAAACCCCAAGGCUUCCGUCAGACUCAACUGAAUGAAAAAAAAUAAAGAAUUACAGGGGGAAGUUUAGAAAAAGUCCUCUGGAAUAAGGCACAUGCUUGGAUAAUAAUUAUAGAACCAACGUCUCUCGUAAUACUAUAGCUGUCUCUCCUUGUCAAUUCAUUUAAAUACAUGAUUUUAACAUUAUGCUAUAAUGCAGCCUAGGCCUACUUUCUGAUGGAUUACAGCCAACAUGUGAAGAGUCCGCUCUAGCCACUUUGAACAACAUGACAUUGCAUUGACACUGCCUUCUCACAAGGGAAUUACCGCAGCAGGUCGUAACGGUCUUGUUUGUUGUUGUUAUUCAAUUCGAAUUCUAUAUUGCUGCAAAUUUGCGUACACCCAUGUUCCAGAUUGUUGUCAUGGCUGUUGUUUCCAAUUAUCAAUCAACAACUAACUGCGCCGUAAAUCCGGCUGCAUAUUGAACGUUGAGAUUGCCGAAAGACCAGCCAANNNNNNNNNNCAGUGGCAUGGAGUGGAAUAGCUCGACUGGUAUCAGGCUAAUGUAGCACGGUCCCUUCGAAAAAUACAAAUAUUUCAUACAUAUUGCACCACUGAGGUAUAUAUUGCACAGAAACUUUAUGGAAGCAAACACACCAUUGCAUAGAUUUACGUAGGGUUCAUUUUGGUAGGGAUUUUUUUGUUUACAUCUUGGAAGUAGCCUAACUAACGGUUAUACAAUACAUUAACUGCUUUUCCAAACCUAUUUUAAA